rnacentral:rRNA from 1 species
UACAGAGGCCCCAAGCGUUACUGAGAAUCACUGGGUUUAAAGGGUGCGUAGGUGGCACGUUAAGUCAGUUGUGAAAUCCCCGGGCUCAACCCGGGAACUGCUUCUGAUACUGGCGUGCUUGAGGCCAGUAGGGGUCACUAGAACUGACGGUGGAGCGGUGAAAUGCGUAGAUAUCGUCAGGAAUGCCGGUGGUGAAGACGGGUGACUGGGCUGGUUCUGACACUGAGGCACGAAAGCGUGGGGAGCGAACGGG